UAUUAUUAUUGGGAUUGGGGCUGAGUUAUUUUCUGUGCAAAUUCAGUUCAAAAACAUUUUUGGCUUGCUAAUUGUGGAUAAUGUUAAUUUUUAAUGAAAUCAUCUUCUAAAUUGUUCAAAAUGCAAUUUGAGGAUUUGAUAAAGGCAGUAAACAAACAUGUAUUCCAAAUGCUGUUGUGGCCAUGUUCCUACACCAGGCAUAGGCAAC